UAUAGAUGCAUAUCCCCGUGGUCAGAGGGCAGGUGGGCAGCGUAGCAGCAGCCUUCCUGUAUUUAACUUCGCUGCAUAAAGCCCGGCAGAGGGCACCGCUCCCAGGCCGUGUUCAGCCCUCUUGGGACCUGCUUGCUGCUGUGCUGGCUGAUUUAAAGGAGCUCAGGUGUGCACGUACCAAAUGGUUACCAGCCUCCAAAACUCUUUCUGAAGGUCUCUCCCAGAAUAUGAGACAGCUGUGCUGAAUUCGGAGUUAAGCUAUAGAACAGCAGAAUUUGCCCGCUGUCCGCCAGCAGCUCCAUGAACUGAGGCACACUGUUAAACUGAUCUUUGCCAGCUUUCACCCCUGAUCUGGAAAACUUGCUGCAAAAUGCUCUGAUUGGCCUGUGAGUAGUCCCACAUGAUUACAACAAUCUCUGAUUAUUGUAAUUCUGCUAAUUGGGACUGGCUGGAUGAGACCAGGGCAGCUGAAGGCAGUCCUGAUCACCACAACCCCAAUCCAAGGAGAGCACCCAAACAGAACAGCCUGCUGUCCAGUGUGGGAAUGGCAAGAGCCCAUGCAGAGGGAACCCAGCACUAGCAUGGCAAGUCAGGACAAAGCUCCUGCAGAUCACUUCUAGAGAGAUGCUCUUCGCUGCCGCAUCCCACCACAUCUUGCAGAGAUACUGCCCUCCCACACAUGUUGAUAUUGUUCUCCAGAAGGCGUGUGUUUUUUAUUGUGCUGGUACAGUUGGAUGAAACUAAUGAGUCAAUGCCCUCACAUUUUUAAA